rnacentral:rRNA from 1 species
AGAAGAAAGAUUGUGACUAAUAAUUGCAAUUCAUGACGGUAUCAACAGAAGAAGCACCGGCUAACUACGUGCCAGCAGCCGCGGUAAUACGUAGGGUGCGAGCGUUAAUCGGAAUUACUGGGCGUAAAGGGUGCGCAGGCGGUUCUGUAAGUCAGAUGUGAAAUCCCCGGGCUUAACCUGGGAACUGCGUUUGAAACUACAGAGCUAGAGUGUGGCAGAGGGGGGUGGAAUUCCAUGUGUAGCAGUGAAAUGCGUAGAGAUAUGGAAGAACAUCGAUGGCGAAGGCAGCCCCCUGGGUCAACACUGACGCUCAUGCACGAAAGCGUGGGGAGCAAACAGGAUUAGAUACCCUGGUAGUCCACGCCCUAAACUAUGUCAACUAGUUGUCGGGCCUUAUUAGGUUUGGUAACGUAGCUAACGCGUGAAGUUGACCGCCUGGGGAGUACGGUCGCAAGAUUAAAAACUCAAAGGAAUUGACGGGGACCCGCACAAGCGGUGGAUUAUGUGGAUUAAUUCGAUGC